AGUCUUACAUGUGCAUAAUGUUGAGAGUAUCGGGAACGACAAUGCUUUAUCUUCAUUCUUGCUAGAUUGGGCACUCUAUUGUCUAGCUAUAGGUGGGGGGUGAGAAUUGUGAUUAUGAUUUGGGAGCAAUGAAAAAGGAAAAGAAAUGACUCUUCGUGUUUAAGUGAAUUGUCUUAUUGGGAUUAGUAGAAAAACCUCUAGCCCAAGUUAUGAAAAGUCUUGGCCCCCAUCUAAAAAAAAAAAAAAAAAAAAAAAAAAUGAAAAGAAAAGAAAAAGAAAGAAAAAGGGGGCUAGCAAAG
rnacentral:lncRNA from 1 species